rnacentral:rRNA from 1 species
GACGAACGCUGGCGGCGUGCUUAACACAUGCAAGUCGAACGGGCCCGCUCUCUUUUUUGGGGGUGGGUUGAGUGGCGAACGGGUGAGUAUCACGUGAGUAACCUGCCCCCUGCUCCUGGAUAACUGCUUGAAAGGGCGGCUAAUACGGGGUGUGCCGGCUGGUCCGCAUGGGCCUGGUCGGGAUGGUUUCAUCUUCGGGUGUUUCGGUGGGGGAUGGGCUCGCGGCCUAUCAGCUUGUUGGUGGGGUGUUGGCCCACCAAGGCGGUGACGGGUAGCCGGCCUGAGAGGGUGGGCGGCCACACUGGGACUGAGACACGGCCCAGACUCCUGCGGGAGGCAGCAGUGGGGGGUAUUGCACAAUGGGCGGAAGCCUGAUGCAGCGACGUCGCGUGAGGGAUGGAGGCCUUCGGGUUGUGAACCUCUUUCUCCGGUGGUGAAGGCCCUGUCCGUUGCGGCGGGGUUGACGGUAGCCGGGUAUGAAGCGCCGGCUAACUACGUG